UUCAUAGCGAGCUCCCCCUACACAUG
rnacentral:piRNA from 1 species